AGAAUCAACGCUGGCGGCGUGCCUAACACAUGCAAGUCGAUCGAGAAAGUGGAGCAAUCCAUGAGUAAAGAGGCGCACGGGUGAGUAACACGUGACUAACCUACCCUCGAGUGGGGAAUAACCUGGGGAAACCCGGGCUAAUACCGCAUAAUACCCACGGGUCAAAGGAGCAAUUCGCUUGAGGAGGGGGUCGCGGCAGAUUAGUUAGUUGGCGGGGUAAUGGCCCACCAAGACGAUGAUCUGUAUCCGGCCUGAGAGGGCGCACGGACACACUGGAACUGAAACACGGUCCAGACUCCUACGGGAGGCAGCAGUGGGGAAUUUUGCGCAAUGGGGGAAACCCUGACGCAGCAACGCCGCGUGGAGGAUGAAGUCCCUUGGGACGUAAACUCCUUUCGACCGGGACGAUAAUGACGGUACCGGAUGAAGAAGCCCCGGCUAACUUCGUGCCAGCAGCCGC
rnacentral:rRNA from 1 species